rnacentral:tRNA from 1 species
GGGUUGUUAGCUCACUUGGUAGAGCAGUAAGACUCUUAAUCUAUUGGUCGCUGGUUCACAACCCACUAAAGUCCU